UACGAAGGGUGCAAGCGUUACUCGGAAUUACUGGGCGUAAAGCGUGCGUAGGUGGUUUGUUAAGUCUGAUGUGAAAGCCCUGGGCUCAACCUGGGAAUUGCAUUGGAUACUGGUAAACUAGAGUUUAGUAGAGGGAAGUGGAAUUCCACGUGUAGCGGUGAAAUGCGUAGAUAUGUGGAGGAACACCAGUGGCGAAGGCGGCUUCCUGGACUAAAACUGACACUGAGGCACGAAAGCGUGGGUAGCAAACAGG
rnacentral:rRNA from 1 species